rnacentral:piRNA from 1 species
UGAACAAAGAUUUAUAAGGAAGUGUGUUCA